rnacentral:rRNA from 1 species
GCCUACCAUGGUUUUAACGGGUAACGGGGAAUUAGGGUUCGAUUCCGGAGAGGGAGCCUGAGAAACGGCUACCACAUCCAAGGAAGGCAGCAGGCGCGCAAAUUACCCAAUCCCGAUACGGGGAGGUAGUGACAAUAAAUAACAAUACAGGGCUCUUAUGGGUCUUGUAAUUGGAAUGAGUACAAUUUAAAUCUCUUAACGAGGAACAAUUGGAGGGCAAGUCUGGUGCCAGCAGCCGCGGUAAUUCCAGCUCCAAUAGCGUAUAUUAAAGUUGUUGCAGUUAAAAAGCUCGUAGUUGAAUUUCGAAAUUUUUUUAUCGGUUGAAUCAACAGGUUCGUACUGAUUUUAAGAAUUUCUACCUUCUGGAGAACCUUAAUGUCAUUUAUUUGAUGUUUUGGGAAACCAGGACUGUUACCUUGAAAAAAUUAGAGUGUUUAAAGCAGGCUUAUGUCUGAAUAUAUUAGCAUGGAAUAAUGAAAUAGGACGGCAUGGUUCUAUUUUGUUGGUUUCUAGGAUCACCGUAAUGAUUAAUAGGGAUAGUUGGGGGCAUUAGUAUUCAAUUGUCAGAGGUGAAAUCCUUGGAUUUAUUGAAGACUAACUUCUGCGAAAGCAUUUGCCAAGGAUGUUUUCAUUAAUCAAGAACGAAAGUUAGGGGAUCGAAGACGAUCAGAUACCGUCGUAGUCUUAACCAUAAACUAUGCCGACUAGGAAUCGGACGAAGUUAAUUUUUUAAUGACUCGUUCGGCGCCUUACG